rnacentral:lncRNA from 1 species
AGUUUAUCCAUUCCCGUUUUGGUUUCGCAGCUGUCAUCCGGUCCCAACGCCAGAAUAGGAGAAAAACCUGCAGGCUAAGAGAGAAGGGAGGGCUGGGCCUGAGGUUCAGUCUUGGUCAUCUCCGACUGGCGGCGCUAGGAUUUCCCCCUUCCUGUGUCUUGAUGGGUUCCUCCAACACUCACUUUGUAUCGAUAAACGACCCUGCAGUUCUUCACGACCUGCAUUGCGCUGGCAGUCCUGAGUGAAGAACUCUCCUCUCAUCCCAGAGAUGGGAAACCUGGAUCUGAGACUGCCAGCUAGCUGCGGCCUCCUAGUCUGUAAAGCGAAGGGAGACCAGGACGCUCCCAAGGACCCGGCUUAUCGCCCCUCCCUUUCCUUCCCGGGGACCCAGAACAGACCACAAGACGGAGGGUGGCCGCUGGAGGUCGCCGUGGCCCCGCGAUACCACCAACCGACAGAAAUGGAGAACAGUUGAUUCAGAUUCAGCUGAUAUUCUCAGGUCUGGAGCGGGCCUGAGCGCUUUAAUUAGCCCGGGGCUAAUGUCCUCACCCAUCUUUGUUUAUAGAACGUUGAAACUCCAGUACUGUUGCACCAAGAAGUUUCCGGUCCCGGUACAGAUCAGUGAGGAAGAGGCUAUUGACAAGUGUGGAUUUGCCCAGGCCAGACUCUCCUGAGAGGAGAGAGGACAGAGGCACCAAAUCAGAAGGGACCCUUCUCUGGGCUGUCUGAUAGUCUGCAGAGACACAGCUGCUUCCGUGCUCUAGGAGAGAGGGACUCCUUGGAGAUCUGAUCUCACUAGUAGUCGUAAUUCUUUGGAUGGGCUCAGUUUGUACUGCUUCAUCCUUUGGAGAAUCCCAAAGAAGUACCUGAAAGGAAUCUGUGGAUUUGUCUUUGGAGUUAUAUCACCAAGCCUUUGGCAAGUUUUUAACAAAACUGGGAUUUCCUUGUACAUAGAGAAGGCUCCAGACCCUCCUUUACUCUCCCGAGAUUCUAGAAAUUCUCAGGACUCAUCCAGAGAAGGAAUCAGCCAGAAGAUCCUAUGAAGACAAGAUCAAACCAAACACGCUGUGUUCGCCCCAGUUUUAAUAAGAAAUCUGACUGAAAACAAAUGGUUGAAUGUGCUGCUAACAGAGAGGGCCAAACGAUGAUGUCUAUUGUGGCAGCUGAACAAAGUGAGACUUACAGAACUGGAACUGCUGCCCUGACAGCAACUGAAGCAGAAAGAGAAGAAAGGAGCUUACAACCAGGACACUCAAACUCAGGCCAGGAGUCCGUCUAUGAUCCAAUUCCAAUCAGUCUGACAAGUCACUCUGAUCCAGCACGAUUAUCCUAUGCACAUGUUUUUUAAAGAACAAAAAAGGAAGUUUCGAGUUGGUAUGUGUGUUUUUUAAAGACACAAACCACAUCCUCUUUCUAUUCAAUUAAAUUCAAGGGAAAGGAAUUUUGGUCUUUAUAAUCAAGGGCGAUUAUAACCAACAGUGUGUCAUGGAAAUGCAAAAUGACUACAGAGCAAUUGACAGCAGCAUCUUCUGUAUUCUCUCCAUAUUAAACCUGUUCUUUUUUUUUUUUUGAGACGGAGUCUUGCUCUUAUCCCCCAGGUGGAGUGCAAUGGCGCGACCUCGGCUCACUGCAACCUCUGCCUUCCGGGUUUAAGCGAUUGUCCUGCCUCAGCCUCCUGAGUAGCUGGGAUUACAGGUGCCUGCCACCAUGCCCGGCUAAUUUUUGUAUUUUUAGUAGAGACGGGGUUUCACCAUGUUGGCCAGGCUGGUCUCGAACUCCUGACCUCAGGUGAUCUGCCCGCCUCGGCCUCCCAAAGUGCUGGGAUUACAAGUAUGAGCCACCGUGCCUGGCCUAAAACUGUUCUUAUGCUGACUCUAUCACUUAUUGAAUCAAAGUUGGCAUUAAUUUCACUUUAUAGUUUAAUUAACUAUAAACACUAACAUUUUAAAAAUUAAGCAACUUUGUCUAAAUUGGAGUCUUUGUCAUUAAUGUGUAUUUAGACACUGGUAAAUGUUUUUAAGUCUGCUUCUGUUGUCUAUAAACAUGACUUUUGAUCUACAAACAUCUGAUAUUUCAUUACCUGGAUGAUUCGGACCAACCUAGUCGCUUCCAAAAACAGGAUUUUAGUUCAUCUUGAUGAAAUAUAAGAGGAAGGAAAAAACAACAUGAUUAAUUUCUAGGUCAAAGGGUGCCAGUAUUCAUAUUAGUGCUCCCUCUAAUUUAGAGUAGACUGUUUUACCUACAAUGGUUGUUAUAUUCUGCCAGAUAGACUCUUUCUAAAAACACAAUUAAUGGGCUUCCCCUCCUAACAUUCUAUAGUUUUCUGCCACAGCAAUGGGCGCUAAUGACACUAAUUCACAAAGUCCCUGUAUUAUCUUCUCAGUGAAAUCAAUACUAUUAAUAGCUAAAUGCCUACACGUUCUGGGCCCUGUGCAGUCAGGGUUCUGGAGGAAACAGAAUGUACCCACGGCUGGUUCAAAUAAAGAUCCUUAGUGAAGUGACUACAUACAGAGGUUUAUUUAGAGUUAAGGGAACAAACAAGGAAUGUCAAGGCAUCCAGUGAUUAGCAGCAGUGGGAAGCCUAAGUCUGAAGGAACUGAGUGUUGGAGAUGAGAGGUCAGUUACUAGACCUUAAUGAGAGCUGGAAUUGGGAAGAAUGGACUGCCUACAGAAGCCGCACUUGUGGAGAGACACCACUUCUACCAGGCACAAGGUGCUGAAGUAAGCAGUGAGGCAAAGUAAUACCCCAAAUUCUCUCUAGCCCCACUAAUCUUCUGCUGGGGCCUGUCAUUGGCAAACAGGAAGCCCAGGAGAUGCAGUCCACUAGGGUCAGCAUUCUGGGGCACAAAGCAGGGCAGAGAUGGGGAGAAUGAGAAGGAAAUCAGGAAGAGGUGAAAGGAAUACCAGAUGAUCUGAAAGAGUUAAAGUCUCUUACUUUCCUGAGUAGGAAGAACUUAAAUAUGGGAGAGCGUCAUUGUAAAGGGCAUAUCAGAAGCCUUCAAAAUCUAUCAAAAUAGUUUUAAAAUUAAGGUUAAUUUAUAAUUUUCACAUUACUUGUAGACUCCACUUAAAUUCCAUAAAAUAUGAUUUAUUACUGGAUUUUGAAGCAUCUAUGUGAGCUAAAUUUAAAACUCUUUGGAAGACGUUGGACAAUUAGAAG